rnacentral:rRNA from 1 species
GUGGGGAAUUUUGGACAAUGGGCGAAAGCCUGAUCCAGCCAUGCCGCGUGCAGGAUGAAGGCCUUCGGGUUGUAAACUGCUUUUGUACGGAACGAAAAGACUCCUUCUAAUAAAGGGGGUCCAUGACGGUACCGUAAGAAUAAGCACCGGCUAACUACGUGCCAGCAGCCGCGGUAAUACGUAGGGUGCAAGCGUUAAUCGGAAUUACUGGGCGUAAAGCGUGCGCAGGCGGUUAUAUAAGACAGAUGUGAAAUCCCCGGGCUCAACCUGGGAACUGCAUUUGUGACUGUAUAGCUAGAGUACGGUAGAGGGGGAUGGAAUUCCGCGGGUAGCAGUGAAAUGCGUAGAUAUGCGGAGGAACACCGAUGGCGAAGGCAAUCCCCUGGACCUGUACUGACGCUCAUGCACGAAAGCGUGGGGAGCAAACAGGAUUAGAAACCCGUGUAGUCC